ACCCUAACCUUAACCCUAACCCUAACCCUAACCACCAACCACCACCACGUCCUAACUGCUAACCCAAAAUUCAGGCGACAAAGCUGACAGGUGACGUCUGACCGGUGAACGGCGGUCCGGAGCAGCGCAGCCGCAGCGUGACGGGUGCGACAGGUGCGACGGGUGCGACGGGUGCGACAGGUGUUGACGCUGCUCAGUCUCUGCUUUGUCGGUCCUCUGGAUCUCCGCCGCCGGCACGUGGAGCUCGAACAACAGUCCGAUUCCAGCGCUCAGAAAGUCCCGUUUAAACAAAGUCUGGGCUUCAAAUCCCACUUAGGGUGCCUUGUGAUGGACUGGCGUCCCUUCCUGGGUGUGUCCCCUCCCCCUCCAGCCUUGAGCCCCGUGUUGCCAGUGCAUUAAGGGUCCACAAGGAGCCUGGUGCUGAAGUCAUCCAGAGACAGAGUGGGGUGGCACAGUGAGGACAACAGGUGGGGCAGCGGUUGGAGCCAAUGACUUCCCGUCUGACCGUCAUUGUUACUCCUAAUCCAACCCUCUCAUCAAAGCACUAACCCCAA
rnacentral:lncRNA from 1 species